AAUGUUCUCUGAGUCAUUGACUCCAACAAGAUAUUCUUGGUUAGGGGUUGUAAGGGUUUUUCCUUUGGUUUUGCUUAUUCUAAACAAAACCUUUAUUAAGAAAAAUAAGGCCCGCAGCAUAGUGGAAUAUAUAACUAUUUCUAUGCCUCUGUAAGACUAAAGAAAAAAAUUAUGACUUUUUGUACUAAUAAAAUAUCUCUUCCAGAAUGUAAUAUAAAAAUCACUCACCAAACAAUGCAAGGAAUUCACAGGUGUGUUUUCAGAUAAUGCAAAAUGACUGGAUUCUGUUGAGACUGCUGGGCUUGAUAAAUAAUAAUAAUAAUAAUAACAACAACAACAACAAUAAUAAUAAUUCUGCUUUACUAACAAUAAUUGCACUGUGCGCAUUUGUUCUUGCUGAGAAUCUUACCGAGUCAGUUAUGCCUUUUAUACUCGUUGCUUGGAAAUACUGGAAAUUAGAAAACAUGAAAGGACUUUAAGUAUCUUCUCAGAUAAUAAAAAGAACAUAGGGCUAACAGUAGCUGUCAAGAACAUGUUACACCUGGAAAGGAAAUGUUUGAGGAAGAAUAACAAAAUGAGCCUUUUUUGAUAUACCCAUUGUAACCGUGUGUAACAGCUGGUCUAAUCUUUGGGACUGGGACUCAACUGACUGUGGAGCCAAAUAACCAGAGAGAUUCUACUCCAGAGGUCAUUGUGAUGAAAUCAAAGAAACAUGAAGAAGAUGGUGGCACUGGGAAAGCAGCUUGUUUGGCAAGGAAUUUUUAUAAAAAGAACAUCAGUUUGGAGAUGUCCUCUGAUGAAGUUGUAUAUGAACCAAAAGCUCCCAUUGUGACAUCAAACGGAAUAUAUAAUACUAUUAAAGUGGUCAAAGUGAAAAAAAAAUCGGAGGUGACGUGCACGGCCAGGUUAAGCAAUGGCAAUUUUACAGCCAACUCAACAUCACCAGAAAUGAAAGCUGAAGAAAUAAAGCCAGCAAAUGUUUGCAACACCACAGACACCUCUGCAGAAGAUAUCAAAAUGGAGAAAGUGAACAUGUUGUCCAUGGCUGUGUUGGGUUUGAGAGUACUUCUGGCAAAAAGUAUUGCCUUUAAUACACUCAUGAGUAUCAAGUUGAUUCUUUUCUGAGGCAAUGGAGAAAAAAAAGGCAGCAAAAGUGUGAGGAACAGCAGGAGAGAGCGUUUACCAGCAGAAUGAAUUUCAGAGGUGGAAAACCUUCCUAAACAGUUCAUGUAACUGCUGGAGUUGUAACUGAUUUUGCUAUUUCUUGUUCUCUGUGAACUGAAGAGAGUAUAUUUUUCUUCAUUCCUUUGCUAAGUAGAAAUUGCUUUUCCCACUCUUUUAUCUUUUGCAUAUAAGCAUCCCACCAGCACUGAUAAUUUUAAAAAUCAGAGCCUCACAAUAGGUAUGCAACCAUUUAAAAACACCUUUACAGGAAUGCUGCAUUACUCCAGAGAGCCGAGAUUUUACUGCUAAGAGGAUUCAGGAGAGGCUACUAAUGGUCUUAUUGCUUUUUAGAUAGCUUCAGUAACAAUCUUUUUCUAGUGUAGAUGAGGGAAUCUGUGUUGGACCUGAAGUGAUUCAGUGCAACCAGAUAAUAUUCAACCACAGUAACAUUUAUACUUGCAUUUCUUUACUUAACUUGUUAACUUCUGCAAAGUGUACAACACCUCCAUUUUAAGUAACUGUAGUAAUUACCCAAAUAAAGUUUUAGUGUGCUAAAGUGCUGUA